CCUACGGGAGGCAGCAGUGAGGAAUAUUGGUCAAUGGACGAGAGUCUGAACCAGCCAAGUAGCGUGAAGGAUGACUGCCCUAUGGGUUGUAAACUUCUUUUAUAUGGGAAUAAAACGUUCCACGUGUGGGAUUUUGUAUGUACCAUAUGAAUAAGGAUCGGCUAACUCCGUGCCAGCAGCCGCGGUAAUACGGAGGAUCCGAGCGUUAUACGGAUUUAUUGGGUUUAAAGGGAGCGUAGGUGGAUUGUUAAGUCAGUUGUGAAAGUUUGCGGCUCAACCGUAAAAUUGCAGUUGAAACUGGCAGUCUUGAGUACAGUAGAGGUGGGCGGGAUUCGUGGUGUAGCGGUGAAAUGCUUAGAUAUCACGAAGAACUCCGAUUGCGAAGGCAGUUCACUGGACUGCAACUGACACUGAGGCUCGAAAGUGUGGGUAUCAAACAGGAUUAGAUACCCCUGUAGUC
rnacentral:rRNA from 1 species